rnacentral:lncRNA from 1 species
AUAGAAUGCAGGGAUCGUAGUGAAAAUAUAUGCAAAAAACCUUCAGUACGAGAAGAUUGUGAUUUGAAAGCCAACACGCCGUUAACAAGAAAGCUCUGCCCUGUUUCUUGCGGUGCUUGUGGUGACUUUGGUAAGAGACUACAAAAUUGUUAAUGGGGGGAGAGGGGGGGGGGGCAUGCACAGUCGAGCUUUUUAUUCAGCCUUAUUAGGAGGGCCAGCAUUUCAUGUAUGUCAAUGCGAAAUAAAUGAAUUCCUAACUGACGAAAAAAAUACAAAACGUUUUUGCAAUUUGUUCAAUGUUUUUACUGUUUUUAUGGCACUGUGCUGGAUGGCUGGAACCCGCUGAAAAACAUCCGCAUAUGACGUGGCUGUCGGUUAUCUGACAGCCAAUGGGAUUGUGUAUAUGAGAAAUAUGAGAAUGCUUUUUUAGCGGGUUCCAGGCAUCCAGCAUGGUGUUUUAUUUGUCAUUUUGUGUAGUUCUUUUUAUCAUGAACUGGCAUGACAAUUAUAUCAACAUUAUAAGCUACUUCACAUGCAGUCAUAGGCUGCAUCAGUCACAGUACAUCGAUGGAAAUUGUAGAAACGUUAAUUUUCACUAGAUAUUUACGACCAUAUAUGUUUGUGACUUGCGUCUGUGGUGACAAGCCCAAAUGAAGUCACAAGUCAUUUUGUUGGAGUCGGAGACACAACUCGUUAAUCUGAUUAACUAGUCAAGUCCAAGUCACAAAAAUUGCGAGUCCGACUUUAGUCCGACUCGAGUGCAAGUCAUACGACCCAUGCAAGUCCACAACUCACAACUUUGGUCUCAUAUAAGCAACUCCUCGGAGUCAUAUCUUUUGUGUCGAGCUAGAUAAAUUGAACUGAAAAAUAUCUUAGUGUAAAGGUGUUGGGAUGAUGCAAAAUUUAUGGAAAACCUAUCUUAUCAAUGUUUACCAAUCUUCUACAAAUUUUUUGUAACUCUGCUUAUUUUUAUUUUCUUAGGCAACUAGAGAAAACGAUUUGCAACGGAGCAUUUAACGGCUCUGCAUAUAGAAGUGAAUUAGAUUUGAUGUAUCAGCAGCGGUUAUAAUUAAUUACGACGGAUCUGAUAAAAGAUAUAGAACGCAACAUAAUUGUGUACGUGUAUAGUUAAUAUAGUUCUAUUAUGUAAUUUUAAUUAAUGUACGAUUGUAAAUCGUUUUGGAAAAUAGGAUAAUGAAAAGUGAAUAAAUAAAGAUUUUUCGCGAU